UACAGAGGUCCCAAGCGUUGUUCGGAUUCAUUGGGCGUAAAGGGUGCGUAGGCGGCGCGGUAAGUCGGGUGUGAAAUCUCGGAGCUUAACUCCGAAACUGCAUUCGAUACUGCCGUGCUUGAGGACUGGAGAGGAGACUGGAAUUUACGGUGUAGCAGUGAAAUGCGUAGAUAUCGUAAGGAAGACCAGUGGCGAAGGCGGGUCUCUGGACAGUUCCUGACGCUGAGGCACGAAGGUCAGGGGAGCAAACGGG
rnacentral:rRNA from 1 species